rnacentral:lncRNA from 1 species
GGGGAAGAUAGCAAGUCCUAACACAAAGAAAGCACAGGAAACUCACCCCACCCAGCCUGAGAAAGUUCAGAGCUGGCCUGCUGUAAAAUGUCCUGACUAGGUCUUUGCUAGCCAUCCGCCAUAGUGGGUGGAUAAAAGACCCGAGCUAACAUGGGGUUAGCUCGUUAAACAACAAUAAAGCCUCAUGCAGUUUGCAGCAAGUUUUCGAAUCUGCCUGGUGAUUGGGGUGAUUGGAGGCCUGAAUUUUCCUGGGGUCUAACAUUUGGGGGCUCGUCCUGGAUUUUUGACCACUCCUCACCUAAGUGGAUUCGAUCUUGGAGAUGUGCCCGCAGGAUCACAGACUGCUGUCCUGAGGACACCCAGAGGUACGAACAGAGGCCAAGGACCCUUCGACCCUCCUCAGUUAGCAGCGAUUGUAGCCGCCUGGUUUUGCCAUCCGUCUUCCCGGCGCCAUUGCCUUAUAAGCGGUGUGGAUGGAUUGGGUUGGCAUCUGUUCUUUCCUGUCUAUUCUGUCUCUGUGUUUUCAUCGUUGGUUUUCAAUUCAGGAUCUACCACGACACCCCCUUUCGUUGAGUCACGUGGCACCACACUAGGUAACUUUCUUUUCCAGUCUUUGUUUCUGUAAGGUUUCUGUAAGCCUGGAGGGUUGGAAUGGGCUGGGUGACUGGGCAGUUGAUCAGCAGGUUUGUUAUCUAUGUUAUCUGAUCUGUUGCAGUCCACACCCUCACCACCUGCUUUUCGGUGGUGUGUCAGUUUUACUGCUUCUGUUAAUUUUGUAAAUGUAAAGGUCCUAUAUUAGGGUUUCUAGUGGCAUCUAUAAGUAGGCCUACAAGAAUUGUUUAGGGCGGAAGUUCUGGCAGCAGCAUUCCGAAAUCUGUAGAGGAGACUUGGUUUCGGACCAAGUUGAUCUCCAUGGGGCUAGCCAUCUGAAAUUCCAAAUAGGACCCUAGUCUGUGUUAAACAUCUCUUUCUGUCCCUACUGCCCACGUACAUGGCAUACAUGGGUCAGGGGUCUUUUCUUGCUGCCCUGAGCACAUGGUGCGCCCCGGUUAGGGUUAGAAUGUGCUGUGGCGGAGUCCCCUGAGGCUGCUACUCUUAAUUCCAACCAUUGCUGUGGCACUACAGCUGAGCCUGGCCGAUGUAGGUGAGUCUUUUUCUAUCCCCACCUUCGGGUCUGUGAGACAUGCGAAGUGGGGCUGUCUCUGCCCCAACUGCCAUCCUGCCAUGGGUCCUGGCUUGCUGCAGGAGUUUCCCUGCUCUGAGGGAACAUGGCUGCAAGGCCGCCAUCUGCCUGGCUGCAUGGCCUUCUCUGUGCUCCACACACAUGGUAUACAGGGGGGCCACCGGGGUCUUUUUUCCACCCCUGCAUUGGCCAAGAGUCUGGGAUUACCAGCAGCAACCCCCCCAGGUCUCUGCCUUGAGCACAUGGAGCUGGGGCCUAUGAACUUAUCUGGCAUGAUCCAGACUUCUAAAAAAAACAGACUUAAAGUUAUUAAAAACUAUAAAAGGGACUUUGAUAUGAAUUUUUAUGUUGACUGAGAAAUGAGAGAGAAUGUACUAAAGUAAUAAAGAGAGAAAGGGAAAGAGAAAUUUGUCUAAGAAUGUCUAAGAAAAUCAGAGGAAUAAACCAAAGGUAUAUAGAAAGUUAUAGAGGGUUAAAGCAAGUCGUAGAAGGUUAGAGAAAAGGUUGUUAAAAGAGAAAAAUGUAAACUGUUUGCUAUGGUUUCUCAUGUCUACAAAUAGUAAAUUUUAAAAAUUGGUAAUAUAAGUUAAAAUUUUAACCAUAUUAAGUUAAUUCUGUUUAAAAAUUCCUGUUUAUUUCUCAAGUAAAUUAUGUAUACUUGUUUUAAAAUGUUCUGUUUCCUGGCAUAACCUAAGUUCUGUUACAAGCAUGUAGCUAAAAUAAAUGAUGAGGGUCACCGCCAUUUUGUAGCCAGCCACGUGGCACAAAAUGACUGGUAGCCAUUUUGCUAAAGUUGAAAAAAGAUAUUUAAACCACCAUCUUGACUAAAGAUGACCGCAUGGAAAUUAGAGGUACCAUCUUAGAAACAAGUUUUUCAGUUAAGAUUUAAAAUGUUAAUGCUUCUAUAUACUACAGAAAGACAUUAAUGGAAUUUAAAUUUCUUUUUAAAACCAUUUUUUAAUGUUUAUGUUUUUUAAUGUCUUUUUAUUAAUGUUUGUACUUAAAGAGUUUCAAUUUAGAAUCAUUUUUAAGCAAAGCCUGACAAUGUAAAGUUCUUGUUUUAUAAAAGAUGCUAAUCUAUUAUAAGAUGUUACAGUUUAUGUUUUCAGAAGUUAAGUUUAGGGCAUUGGUGGAACGCGCCUUUAUGUUUAGGGCAUUGGUGGCACAUGCCUUUAAUCCCACCACUUGGAGGCAGAGGCGGGUGGUUCUUUGUGAGUUCAGGGCCAGACUGGUAGACAGAGUGAAUUCCAGGACAAGCUCCAAAGUCACAGAAAAACCAUGUCUCAGAAAGAAGUUUAAGCAAGCAGCUAAAAUAUGUACAUGUAGCUACUGUUUAAGGACUAUAAGGUAACUCUAUGCAAUUUUAAAUUCAACUGUGCUAAGUUAAAACCAGUUACAGUCAAGCUGAAAAUUAAUUACAGAAAUAAGACCUUACCUAGCCACCUGUAUGCUUCUUGUGUGCUUAGGGAAAGUAACUAAAACAGACAGACAGACAGACUUCUAAUGCUUCAGAGAACUGCAGAAUAUGGCAUUUAAAUUGUUAUCUUUAAAGUUUAUAAUAUCAGACAGACUGCCAGAUCCUGACAGUGACCCUAAGUCCCCAAAGAAGAUUAUGAGGCACCCCAGUUCCUGCACCUGGACCAGUGAGCAAGAUGCUCAGAUGUGAUACCUGCUGCCCGCCAGGACCUGGCCAAGACUGUGGACAAAGCUGCUGGACACUGGAAAAUUGAUUACACCUCAUUUGCCUAGACAAAACAAGGUCAGUCUUUUCCAUGUCCCUCUUCCACAGAGAGGAAAAAAAAAAGAAAAGAAAAGAAAAGAAAAGAAACAACCUCUCACCUUAUAGGCCUGCCGAAGAUUGAUAUUCUUUGAGACAUCUGCCUCCAGUGGUAAAGGAGAAACUUGGGUAUGGCAAACUAUAUAUGGACUGGCUUCUGUCACUUUUUAGUAGAUUCGGAUAAAAUAUACCCUUCUCAGAUCUCUAAAAUAUUAAUUGUUGUCAGCUUGACAGCAUCAGACAGUCAGAUCCAGCAUGUUAGCUGAUAAAGUAAUGACUACCUACUGUUCAGUCACAAGCUCAAGGUUUUUAGGUUUAUUUUGGUUGUCAUCUAAGUACAAACUUAAAGGGCUUAUCAUCAGGCCAAAGGCACCUCUGUCCAAUCCAUACCUGGCUCUCUGGACAGAAGAAAAAUGUACAUGCUUAUAGCCCAAAUCUGUAGUUUUUGCUAGGACUCAAAGUUAUAAAUAUGUUCCUGCUGUUUGAACAGAUAUCCAGAUAUCUGCCUUUUCUGCACUGUGGGCUUCAGUAAAUAAGUUUUAACCUCUGUUCCUAGUUUAAACAUGUCUUAAACAGGUUUCUGCUCUGGCAGACAUCUGAGUAUCAGUUGUUGACUACAGGCUGUUCUAAGUAGACUGCGAGCCCUGGACUUGCUGUGGAUAUGAACCAGUCCAGCUGAUGUGGACACCCCCUGUCUCUUCAACAGAGUCUGCCAACAGCCCCUGAUGGAUUCCCCAUUGCCUAAAUUCCUUUUUGCUUUUGACUAGCAUUUCAACCUUCUAGGGUCCCUAACUUUGUCCCAAAGUCAGCAGGAAGUAGCAUGGGAAAGAAUACGUUGUCCAUUUUCCCUGGUUAAAAUGCUAAGUCAGAAGGAACUCCCUUGCAUGAGGAUGCCAAUAUCUCUCACUCCCUGAUGGGGGCGCUAGAGAGACAAUAAUUCCAUGAUUGGAAUUUCCAAAAAAAGAAAAUUGAGGAAUGAAGGGACCAGCUGCCCCUUUCGGCAGCCAUGACAGUAACACGUGUUCGCCAUGACCUUGCCUUGGUUACUUAGGGGUCAGAUGCCUGCCUCGCGGCAAGGAACCAAUCAGAAGUUAGCUGGUGGCGCUAUGCUUUAAGGCUCUGGGUGUGCUGUAUGGACAAGUGCACAGCAAUGACGCACAGAGCAUAGCAACCACCCUGGGAGGGCCUGUGGGCCAUAACAACCAAUUGGCCAAUCAACACAGGGCAAGCCCUCCAAGCCUGGAGGCACACCAAUCCUGAGCCUGUGCGAACCCCUAGACACUCCCCUUACGCUGCCCUACAAGAUCUCUCUGCAGCUGGUUGGAGCUGUCUUUGCUAGCCAUCUGCCAUGGCGGGUGGGUGAAAGACCCGAGCUAACAUGGGGUUAGCUCGUUAAACAACAAUAAAGUCUCAUGCAGUUUACAGAAAAAAAAAUGUUCUGACUAUUAUCACCACUGGUUACAAAAUUUGAAGAAGUGAUGGAAUACUAUGUAUUUUAUGCAUUUUGAACUGUAAUGGUCCAUAUUUGAAUUUUGGCAUUGUGUUUAAUCCAGCCUAUGCUCCACUGCACAGAUUUUAAUUUUUAACAUAAUUAUUUUAGUUUUGAUAUUGUAAUAUAAUUACACCCUUUCUUCCUUUCCUUUCUGACCUUUAAACUCUGCCAUAUACCCCUCCUUUCUCUCUUUCAAAUCCUUUUUUUAUUAACUGUUGUUACAUACAAGCAUACAUGCACACAUAUAUUCCUACAUACAUAAAUACUCCCUGCUUAAUCUGUAUAAUGUUAUUCAUAUGUAUGUUUUCAGGGCUGGCCAUUUGGUAAUGGAUAACCAAUUGGUAUGCCAUUCCUGGGGGGAGACUAUUUCUCGCACUCUCAGCAUUCCUUAGUUGUCUGUAGUUCUUUGUGUAGGGUUCUGUGGGUUUUCUCCCAUCCACUAUGCAUGUCUGUUGGUGUCAUCUUUAUUCACCUCAUGUGUAGGCAGAUGUGUUGGUAAGAGUUUAUGAGUAUACCUUCUGAUAUUCUUCAGAGACAUACAUAGACUACAGCAAACUCCAUGAUUCUCUGGCUCUGACAAUCUUUCUGCUGCCUCUUCCAGCCUUAGGUAUAGGAGUGUUUCAUAGACACAUUCACUGAGACUGACCUCCACAAUUCACAUUUUUAUUAGUUGUGGUUCUCUAUAAUGAUCUAUGUCUAUUGCAAAGAGAGGUUUCCUUAAUGAGGGAUAAGGAUUACACUUAUCUGUGGGUAUAAGGACAAAUAUUUAGAGUGUAGUUAGGGAUUAUACUGAUGUAAUAAAGGGGUGGUUGUAGGCUCUCCUCUGAUAGCCAUGCCUUCACUAGCCUUGGGAUGGAUGGUACUGUCUCUUGUUGAGCAGCUUGUCUCAGCUUUGUCUCUUAAUGAGCGGCUCUUAAGUUUAGUUAGAGAGCUGUUGGUUGCUGGGUUUUGCUAAGCUAUUCUAUUACCAAUAAAAACUCUAGAGUCAGAUAUUGGGGUGAAAACCUUGUAGAUCAGAGAAGCAGAGGAGGAGUGACCUGCUGAUCUUCCCUUUCUUAUCAGAGACCCAGUCAGCACCUCUUCUCUCCACACAUCCCAGGAAGAAGAGCAUGCAAAUUCCAAGUCCCGCCUUUCUCCUUCCUCUCAUUCUUCCCUAUCCAUAUUUCUGGCUACUCUGUGACUAAUUCCGGUCGCUGGCUCUGCCCACCAAUUCAAAGGUAACUUUAAAUUUGUAUCAAUAUAAAAAAAUCCAAACCAAUGUAAAUUUUUUUUAGAUUACUUGCUGCUUUUUGGAUUAAAGUAGAUUCAAUAAUCUACCCUUUCCAUCUAUUAUUCUUAUCUCUCUUUUUCUUUCAGAAAGAGAUCCCUUAAUCUAUCCUCUAAGACCAAUAACAACCUGGAACUAAUUCCUCUAAAUAGUGAAAAACAUCCACAACCCACAAAACAACCAAAACCCACCCACCCCACGUCUUAGGAAUGUGUGUGUAGUGUUCCUAAAAUUACUUCCAUGUUGAGGUGCACAAAUUUCACCAGUGAGACGUGGAGGGGGUCAGACAUAUAGUAUAUAGGAAAGGUAAUGAGUCAUAUAGCAGAAUAUAGACUAAUAUAAAGGGGUUAAUUUAAGUUAUAAGGGCUAGCUGGGAAUAAGCCUAAACUAAAGCAAGGCAUUCAUAAGUAAUAAGUCUCCAUGCCAUUGUUGGGGAACUGGCAAAACAAAGAAAGUCUGACUACAGUUGGUCACCACCAAGAGAUGCAUGUUGAUACUACAUGCUUAGGGUUAUGUGUCAUGCUGAUUGUUAUGGUAGUGCAUGUGUGUCAUAGCUGGAUAGGACUGCUGUUUGUUUCCUUCCUCAGAAGCUUGUAUGGCAUGAAAGCUAGUCCUCAAGUGAGAGGCUUUCAGGUUAGUUCCAGGUCAGGGGCCCUCUGGGCCUGGCUUCUAAAGUGCAUGAUGUCUUCAUCAGUGGGGGCUCACCUUCCACCUCUGAGGGGCAACCAAGGACAAUAGCAACAGCUUGUACUUUCUGGGGAGUCUCUGUGAAAGAACUCAAGAGACAGCUUCUGUGUAUGAUGAUGGAGUUUCUCUUAGAUGGUCCUUGGCUUUGGGGAAAAACAUUGUCAGCCCAGACAAAAAUUUAUUUAUACGCAGACUUACAUUUAUUAUAGGGUGUUUUUAGGUAUAUUGUUAAUAGUACGGUUUCUUAUGAGUUUUUCAGACCUUGCUGGUUUUACCCUCCUCUCUUUGUUCUGUUUUUCUCUCUUCCUCCCCUAGUAAACCGUCUCAUUUUUCCUCUUUUCUCAAUAAGAUCACUUGUACUCUGAUAUCUCCCUCUCUAUUACUCCUUGAUCCCAAAAAAAUGGUUCCUUUUUACUCUCCUGGUUUCUGCUAUUACUCCAAGAUAUAUACCCCCAUAUGAAGGUUAUGGGCUAGGAGCCUCAGAUGAGAUAGACCAUGUUGGACUUUCUGGAUCUGAGUUACCUCACUUAGUAUGAUCUUUUCUAGUUCUAACCAUUUACCUGCAAAGCUCAUGGCUUUGGUUUCCUUUAUAGCCAAAUUCAUAUGACCCAGAUUUAUACAUCUUACCUGUAUUUGGCUGUUGGCCUCUAACUCUUUGAAGAUGUGAUAUGUAAAUCUAAGUACUUAAAAUUUAUGUUAUAUAUAUAUAUAUAUAUAUAUAUAUAUAUAUAUAUAAUUUCAAUACAUAAUCCCUUGGAAUUAUUUUUAAUCUAGUCAUUAUCAGCUUGGGAUAUGUGAUAACAAAACAUUAAAAUAGUUCUUGUCUAGUCAUAUUUUUUCUAACCAGAUAGCUAUAAAAAUAGCUGCUCAUUAAACUCAGGAUAUGUUCAUUAACUAUUAACAAAGUGUCUAGACAAUGCCACUCCAGUGGACAGCCAACUUUCAUCUGGAAUAAUCUAUUAUCUGUUCCAUAUCUGAUUUUCACCAAAGGCAAAAACAUUCUCAUUUCUAUGACUUGAAACUGACCUAUGUUGUCCCCAUAGUCAACCCUGUCCUCUGAUUCUUUUUGUUUGCUUUUUGCCCAUGCAAAAUGUGAUGAAUACAAAAAUUUCUGCCCCCCCCCAUUUCUCCCAACAAACUGCUCCUUUACAGAACUCUCUUUCUCACUCCCAUUGCUGUUACAAUAAAAAAAAAAGGGCUUUAGACUCAUAGAAACCUGGGUUACAAUUCCAGUUAUACCUGUUGCUUCAGGCUCAGCGGGUUGAUCCUUUGUAUCCUCAGUUGUACAAUGAAGCAACUGUAAGACAGUGAGGAGAGAAGAACAAUGUAGAGUUGGAUAACAAGGAAAACAUUCCAUGCAUUUUAGUCUCCUUGGAUUCCUCUGCAGUAGUCAAACAAUCAUUCCCUUGCUGCCAUCUUAUGGCAUUCUCCCCUUCUGACUUCUCCAUUGUAUAUCACCUCGACUGCACUCUAAGCACUUUAACAAAAAAAAAAAAAAAAAAAAAAGCAAUGCCUUUAGUUAUUCUGAAUUCUACUCUGUGUCUCUGGUGGCUUGAAAGGGAAUGACCCCCAAGGGGGUGGCACUAUUAGGAGGUAUGGCCCUGUUGGAGGAAGUGUAUCUCUGUGGGAUGGGCUUUGAGGUCUCUUUUCUCAAGCUUCCGUCAGUGUGACAGUCAGUUGACUUCCUGUUGCCUUCAAGAUGUAGCACUUUCAGCUAUCAGCAUCAUUUCUGCCUGUAUGCUGCCAUGAUGAUAAUGAACUGAAUCUCUGAAACUAUAAGCGAGCCACCUCACUGACAUCAGACACCAAGAUGCAAAGUUUGGAGUUUGUCUGGCUGGUUCUUGGUCUUGCUUCAGUCGAGUAUUUCCUCAGUAUGCUCAUUCCCUAAAUUUUAGAAUGGUAAGGUAUAUCCUGUACCAUUACAUGUUAGUGCAACCAACGUUGGUGGCACAUGCCUUUAAUCCCAGCACUUGGGAGACAGAAGCAGGCAGAUCUCAGUGAGUUUGAGGUUAGCCUGGUCUACAAAGCUAGUUCCAGGACUGCCAGGACUGUUACACAGAGAAAACCUGUCUCAAAAAAAAAAAAAAAAAAAGAUCUGCUGUUUGAUUGCCAUGCAUCUCAGAAGGGACUUAAAAUAGUAUGAGGCUGUUAUAGAGUUGAACUAAACCUCUGAAACUGUAAGUGAGCCACACUAGUUAAAUGCUUUCUUUAUAAGAGUUGCUGUGGUCGUGAUGUCCCUUCACAGCAAUAAAAACCUUAACUAAGACAGUGUCUUUCCUUGUAAUAAAUGAUCAACUGUUGGUUUUUGUUCUUAAUGCAGUAGGUCAUAUCACUAGUCCUUCCAUCAAUCCUUUUCUUAAGCUUGUCUUUCUCCAUGUAUAGUUUCCCAAGAAUACCACAGGGAGUGAAAGCUGGACCAGUAAGAAUCGCAGCCUCAAAUAGAAUUCAACUCCAGCCAACUAAGCGUCUCUAACAAAGGUCUACUUUUAGAUGUGUGUGGGCAGAGAUAAGAGAAUCAGAAAAACAUGGUGAGGCACCUAGAAGCUAGCAACAGAAGAAGCUCCUGUAUCCAUGAGCUGGAAGACAAAAUGCUGAGUAAAGGUGGGAGCUGUGGCCAUGAAGAUCCAUUUGCCAUGGGACAAAGAAAAGCAGAAGGUGUUUCAGGGGACCUAAUUGCCUGAAUUUACUCUCCUCUCAUACUUUGAUCUCCUGUUGGUGUUAAUUAUUCACUGAGUCUACUCAGAAGUUCUGGUAUGUGAUCCCUAGAGAUGAGAGUGUGGAGUUAAGAAGGAAGGGGAGAGAACUGAUCUUGGGUGGGAACAAAUGAAGAGUUACCAAUGCAGAGCAACCUUCCUCUGUGUGACCAAGUGUCUCAGAAUGUGUCAUGUUGCCUCACAGCACAAAACAGAAGGUAGGAGGAGUUCCAAAAGACUGGUCAAAGUGAAUAUUCCUGGCAUUAAAACAAGUCAAAGUCAUGAGCCUCCUGGCCUGUCACACACAGAAGGGUUUAUACAGACCUAGCAGAAAACAAACCAAGAUGGAGGUAGUUUACAGAGGGUCUUUCAACAUGGUCAAGAUCAUAAGCAAAAGAAAGAAAGGGCAACAUCUUCACAUUAAAUGGGGAUUAAAAGAGGCCCCCAAACUAAGUUCAACCUGAUACACUUGGUGUGAAAUUAGGUGAGAAAAAUUAUUGUACAAUUGGCAAAUUUUCAUGGAAUCUUUGGGUUAGAACACUGUGGUGCUCUCACCUUGAGCACUGUGUCAUGAGAAAAGGAGAGGAUGCCAAACAUCUUUUUUCUGUUGAACAGUCACAUGCACUUGGAAGUAAUUUGUCACAAAGGGUCAGUGUGCACACAUUACUUUAGAGAGAUGGCAUAAAGCCUAAGAGCACUGGUUGCUCUUCCAGAGACUCUAAGGUUCAAUUCCCAGCACCUACAUGGCGACCAACAACCAUCAGUAACUCCAGUUCCAUGGGAUCAGAUGCCCUCUUCUGGCCUCUGUGGGUACUUUGGGCAUGUGGUAUUUAUAUGUGCAAGUCAAGCUCUCAUACACAUAAAGUAGAAUUAAAUUAACCUUUUAAAAAUAUGUUUUGUGUGAAAGGGGGAGGAUGGAUAGAUAGAUAGAUAGAUAGAUAGAUAGAUAGAUAGAUAGAUAGAUAGAUAGGUAGAUGAUAGAUUGUGUGUGUGUGUGUGUGAGAGAGAGAGAGAGAGACAGAGAGAGAGAGAGAGAGAGAGAGAGAGAGAGAGAGAGAGCAUGAAAUUAUAUAUUAGGAGAAGAAGAACCAACAGUAGACUAAGUAUGCUGUUGACAGGAAGUACUCAUUUGCAUGGAGAGAAUUGGUCCCCCACUGUCUCAGUGGAGUCUCAUCAAAUACAUGCUUUUCAGAUGGCUGUAGGCACCCAAUGACUCCUACCAUUAUAGAGAGAAUUCUAUGCUUCUCAUGACAAUUUGUCUGAACAUUAUUAGCUGCUUCUCAUUCUUACUAGAAAUUAAAUUGUUACUUUAAAACUGAAAGAAAUUAGGUGAAGGAAAAGGUCCUGCUAUGUCUUGGUUGGAAGACUUGGCAUGAAACUGGAAUUUUCUGCCUCUUAUGUAAGGAAGUGAGUAAAUGAUGAGCAUAAUAUUUAUGCCAGCCUUACAAUAGAAUUAUUUUCCACCUCCAAAAUAGAACUGCUAAUAUAACAUUUGCUCUCUGGGGUGAAACAGUAUGCUUAUUUAGCCACUAUUUCAUCCUAUCCCCCAAGCAGUUGUUUGAAAAGACUAUGAUUGCAUAUAUUGAGCACACAUGUCUUUUGGAAGUCAGAAAUAAAACCAAUAACUGCAAUUAUUUUCCAUUCAAGGAAGGUACAAGUAAACCUACUAUGACUCUGAGCAAAGCUGGGAUGCAAAGCUAGCUCUAGGAUGCUUCUGAUGAGACCAAGGACAGCAUAUUUGUUGCAUGGUCAUUGCUUCUUAUGUGGGGAAUUUAGAGAUGGGGAAGCAUCCAUGUUUUUCAUGCUAUCUACUUCAAAGAUUUACACAGGACUCUCAGAAAAAGAAACAAUUCUAUGAAGCCAUCACAGUCUAGACUUGAGGGAGAAAGCCUGAUAUCCAAGUAAUAUUUUAUUAGGAUUAAGAGGCCCAGUUACUUCAUAUUAGCUUAAUUGAUACCCUUCACAGCAUUAUAAUUUUAAUGUACUUUCAAUUCAGCAAACAGGUUUUAAGUGCCUACUGUGUCCCAGGCACCAUAGAAAACUUGAUCAAAUAAAACUGCUUCCCAGGUCACCAUUUCCUUUUUCCAGAAAAAUAUGAUCUAGCAUGUGCAAUUUCUAUCAACAUAGGACUUCAUUUUGGUUACAUUUUAUUUAUUUCUUCUGGAAGGGUGCAUGUGUGCCAUUGUUGUAAUUUUUAAAGAAGUGCCACAUGAAAGAUGCCAUGUGACAUAGUUCAAAUGGAGGUUUUUUUAAUUAUUAUUAGAGAAAGGGAUCAUAAAAAGGGGAAAGGGGCGGGGGAGCAGCCUCCAGGGACAGGAACAGCAGUAGAGAGGAAAGAGAGGCAGAGAGAGAAAGAAAGAGAGGAGGAUGGGAGGUAGGCAGGGCCCUUUUAAAAGGGAAUGUAGUAAAUGUGCACAAGUGGUGCUCUUAGUGGCUGCAGUUGAAGGUGUAUCCUGUCAGAAUCCCAAGGGCAGGCCAGUACAGAUGCCUGAAUACUAACACAGGGAUUGUGUAGAGGUCAGAGCACAGCUUGUAAAAAUCAGUUCUCUUUCUUUCCACCACGUGGCUCCCAGGAAUCUAACUCAGUCCUCAGGCUUGGUGUCAAGUGGUUUUUUUUUUUUUCUACAACAUAUCUCAUCAACCCCCAAAUAGGACUUCCUCUAAGAACUAUACUGCAGGAAGGAAUAUUUCAGGAUAUUCACUAAGAGUAUGGCUUGGUUGUUACUGAGGACUAAAAGGAGGGCCCAUUCAUUAAUAGACUAAAGAGCUGCAGCCUCUAAAAUUCCUUCUUAGGUAGUUGGGUCACAUAAUAAUUUGUUUGUUAAAGUAUAUUCUUUUGUUAAGACAUAGUUGGAUAUCAAAACCACAAUUUUGACUACUACAUCUGGUUUGGUAAUGCAAUCUGAAAUAAACAGGUGUCCUGUUGACUAGCAUAAUUGCCUUGC